rnacentral:rRNA from 1 species
CCUACGGGAGGCAGCAGUGGGGAAUAUUGCACAAUGGGCGCAAGCCUGAUGCAGCAAUGCCGCGUGUGUGAAGAAGGCCUUCGGGUUGUAAAGCACUUUCAGUAGGGAAGAAAAGCCUAAGGUUAAUAACCUUGGGUCUUGACGGUACCUACACAAGAAGCACCGGCUAAUUCCGUGCCAGCAGCCGCGGUAAU